UUAGUGGGGAAUAACUGUUGGAAACGACAGCUAAUACCGCAUAAUAUUGCUGGAUAAUUUCCAGUAAUGAAAGGAGCUUUCAAGCUCCGCUGAUUGAUGAGGAUGCGGCGCAUUAGCUAGUUGGUAGGGUAAUGGCCUACCAAGGCAAUGAUGCGUAGCCGAUCUGAGAGGAUGAACGGCCACAUUGGGACUGAGACACGGCCCAAACUUCUACGGAAGGCAGCAGUAGGGAAUUUUUCACAAUGGGCGAAAGCCUGAUGGAGCAAUGCCGCGUGACUGAUGAAGGUCUUCGGAUUGUAAAGGUCUGUUGUAAGGGAAGAAAUGGUAAAACAGGAAAUGGUUUUAUCUAUGACGGUACCUUACCAGAAAGCCACGGCUAACUAUGUGCCAGCAGCCGCGGUAAUACAUAGGUGGCAAGCGUUAUCCGGAUUUAUUGGGCGUAAAGGGUGCGUAGACGGUUUUGCAAGUCUGANGUUAAAUUUAGGAGCUCAACUCCUAAUCGCCUUGGAAACUACAAGACUAGAGUAUAGGAGAGGNUAGUGGAAUUCCAUGUGUAGCGGUGGAAUGUGUAGAUAUAUGGAGGAACACCNGUGGCGAAG
rnacentral:rRNA from 1 species